AUGGCAGCAGUCUCCUAUUAUCUCUCGCUUUCGGUCGUUGCGUGUCUCUGCAUCUUCUCAGUCUCUUCACUGUCAGAUCAUGAAAGCUUCCUCCGUUGCUUCUCCUCCCACGUUUCGCCAACUACCAACUUGUCUCAGCUCCUCUACCUCCCUAACAGCCCCGACUACUCCUCCCUCCUCUUUUCCUCCAUCCAAAACCUCCGGUUCGCAUCCUCUGAAACGCCAAAGCCCCUCCUCAUCGUCGCACCGGCCGACGAGUUCCAAGUCCAAGCAUCGGUCAUCUGCUGCAGGAGUCACGGGCUGCCGAUCCGAGCCCGGAGCGGGGGCCACGACUACGAAGGGUUGUCCUACCGAUCCGAGAAGGCCGGUAGCUUCGUGUUGCUCGAUCUAGAGAAGCUCCGUUCGGUGACCGUCGACGUCGAGCAUGGCGUGGCAUGGGUGGAGGCCGGUGCUACUCUCGGCGAAUUGUACUACAAGGUUUCAGAGAAGAGCGGGCGUCUUGGGUUUCCGGCUGGUGUCUGCCCGACGGUCGCCGUCGGUGGCCAUCUAAGCGGGGGCGGCUUCGGUCCCUUGUCGCGGAAGUAUGGCCUCGCAGCUGACAACAUUCUGGACGCCAAGAUGGUGGAUGCUGACGGCAGGAUCUUGGACAAGGAGUCCAUGGGCGAGAACCUCUUCUGGGCCAUAAGAGGCGGCGGAGGAGCCAGCUUUGGCAUCAUCAUCUCUUGGAAGGUGAAGCUCGUCCACGUUCCUGCCACUGUGAGCGUGUUCACCGUUCGCCGAACGAUGGAGCAGGGAGCGAUAGAGCUCGUUCAUCGAUGGCAGAACAUUGCUCACAAGCUCCACGAGGAUCUACUCCUCAGGGUUGACAUCGUCCACGUGAACAGAGGAGAUCGGAGGGUGGUGGAGGCGGCGUUCAAGUCCUCGUUUCUCGGGCACUGCGAUGGGCUGCUCCGACACAUGGGCGAGCACUUCCCGGCGCUGGGCGUGGAGAGGAAUGACUGCAGAGAGAUGAGCUGGAUCGACUCGGCAGUCUACGCCGCCGGCUACACGAACGGAGAACCUGCAGAGAUUCUGGUGAACAGGGAGCUGCAGCCGAAGGACUUCAACAAAGGCAAGUCCGACUACGUCACGGAGCCCAUCCCGGUGAGUGGAUGGGAAGCCAUUUGGGCGAGGCUCUCCGAGGAGGGGCUACGGGUUCCAUGCACAUGGAGCCUUGGGGAGGAAGGAUGAGUGAGAUCUCCGAGUCGGACAUCCCGUUCCCACACAGGAAGGGGAACCUCUUCAUCAUCCUCUACCUCUCGACAUGGAGAGAUGAAGGCGUCGCAGCGUCAACCAAGCACCUGGGCUGGAUCAGGAGCAUGUUCCGCUUCAUGACUCCGUACGUCUCCAAACGCCCUCGAGCUGCGUAUCUCAACUACAGGGACCUCGACUUGGGAAGAAACGAGGAGGGCAAUGCGAGCUACCGGAAGGCCAUGGCGUGGGGUGAGAGGUACUUCAAGAACAACUUCCGAAGGCUGGCCAUGGUGAAGGGCGAGGUGGAUCCCCAUAACUUCUUCAGCAACGAGCAGAGCGUGCCGCCUCUUCUCGCUGAGACCGGCGAGAGGCCACAGAAGAUCUGCUCCACAAGCAUGUCGAUUUCAGAUCAGAGGUCACCAAUCAAGUACAUGCUGUGAUCUCGUCGUCGCCAAGCAAAUCUUGGCAUCUGUAAGGCCACAUUUUGGAAGCAAUCUUAAUGUUUUGUUUGAAGGAGAUAAAGACCACUAAAAAAAUCUUAAUUUUAA